rnacentral:lncRNA from 1 species
AUACCUCAAGUUAUGUCUUAGAAAAGAAAGCUGACUUAGAAGACCAAAAUAAAUAAUAUAAUCAUAGGUACAUUAAUUCACAUCAUGAAAAAAAGAGAAACUUGCAAAGGUAUAAUAUAGUAAUUAUUUGUUCUGGAACAGGACUAACAUUCAUCAUUACCUACUAACAACAAAAGAGAUCGCUAGCCAACCCUACACCAA